GCGCCCGUAGCUCAAUUGGAUAGAGCAUCACACUACGGAUGUGAGGGUUGCAAGUUCAACUCUUGCCGGGCGCA
rnacentral:tRNA from 1 species